rnacentral:tRNA from 21 species
UCCGAAGUAGCUCAGUGGUAGAGCAACCGGCUGUUAACCGGUUGGUCGUAGGUUCGAGUCCUACCUUCGGAGCCA